rnacentral:rRNA from 1 species
UACGUAGGGGGCAAGCGUUGUCCGGAUUUAUUGGGCGUAAAGAGCGUGUAGGCGGUCAGAUAGGUCCGUUGUGAAAACUCGAGGCUCAACCUCGGGACGCCGAUGGAAACCAUCUGACUAGAGUCCGGAAGAGGAGAGUGGAAUUCCUGGUGUAGCGGUGAAAUGGGCAGAUAUCUGGAGGAACACCAGUGGCGAAGGCGGCCGACUGGGCCGAUCCUGACGCUGAGACCCGAAAGCCAGGGUAGCGAACCGGG